rnacentral:rRNA from 1 species
GACGAACGCUGGCGGCGUGCCUAACACAUGCAAGUCGUGCGAGAAAGUUCCUUCGGGAGCGAGUAAAGCGGCGCACGGGUGAGUAACACGUAGGUAACCUGCCCCCCAGUCUGGAACAACUAGAGGAAACUCUAGCUAAUGCCGGAUGAGACCACGAUCCCCUUCGGGGGUUGCGGCCAAAGAUGGCCUCUACUUGUAAGCUAUCGCUGAGGGAUGGGCCUGCGGGCCAUUAGCUUGUGGUGAGGUAACGGCUCACCAAGGCUGUGAUGGCUAGCUGGUCUGAGAGGAUGACCAGCCACACUGGGACUGAGACACGGCCCAGACUCCUACGGAGGCAGCAGUGGGGAAUAUUGCGCAAUGGCGAAAGCCUGACGCAGCGACGCCGCGUGGGUGAUGAAGGCCU